CAGAAAAUAGUUUAAAAAAAAUAUUAAUUUUGGAGAUUAAAAAUAAGAGGUUUCUUUUUUCUGA
rnacentral:tRNA from 1 species